UACAGAGGGGCAAGCGUUGUUCGGAAUUACUGGGCGUAAAGGGCGCGUAGGCGGCCUGUUAAGUCGAACGUGAAAUCCCCGGGCUCAACCCGGGAACUGCGUCCGAUACUGGCAGGCUUGAAUCCGGGAGAGGGAUGCGGAAUUCCAGGUGUAGCGGUGAAAUGCGUAGAUAAUCUGGAGGAACACCGGUGGCGAAGGCGGCAUCCUGGACGGGCAUGACGCCUGAGGCGCGAAAGCCAGGGGAGCGAAACGGGGAAUUAGACAAUCCCGUGUAAGUCGACG
rnacentral:rRNA from 1 species